GCUAUCUAGAAUAAGGUUAGCAUUCUUGAUCUUGAAUUUAAAAGUCCUAUACUCAAACUUUAAAGAUUAUUCAAUUUUCACCAUCAAUUUUGACAUAAUUUAUUUACUAAGUAAACGAUGUCGAAAAAAACUAAAAUUUAUCCUAAGAAUUUCAUAUAUCUUAGAUCAUAUUUAACGGUGUGGAUCGUUAAUUUGAACACCCUAAGAUUGAAAACAAGACUAUAGUACCGGAGCUCCGGUACUAUAGAUAGUAUAGUAGCCUAAUUCUCUCUCUCUCUCUCUCUAUAUAUAUAUAUAUAGGAGAGAGAGAGAGAGAGAGAUGAGCUGGAAUGCGCUAUCGGUAUCAAACGGGCCAUCCAUUUAUUUUUGAUGAUGAAACCUUCAAAUCGAUGAUUGACACCAUUGAACAUUAUCUAUAUCACUUGAAGUAUUUAGAAAUUAAAUUUCAAAUCUUUUCGACAUCAUUGGCCUAAUGAUCAAAAAGUUCAAAAUUUAUAAUUUUAGUGGUCGAUAUAAGAUGUUUGCUUGUUUAAUAGUAUAAAGAUAUCCAAAUCAAUUGAAUUUUAAUUAUAAAAUUUUUUAAACUAUUUAGAAAAAGAUCUAUAUUCUUGAUCUGGAUUACAAGACUUCUAUCAUCACUUUUUAAAGGAUAUUUAUUUUUAGCCAUUCAUUUUUAUGUCUAACUACUUGAUGGACAAGAAAAUAAUGUCGAAAAUACAUAAAAUUUGAUUUCUAGAUGUUUCAAGUGGUAUAAAUCAUAUUCAAUUGCCGAUCGUCGAUUUAGAGGGUCCAUCACCAAAAACAAAUGGGUGGCAAUAGAGUCC
rnacentral:lncRNA from 1 species